rnacentral:rRNA from 1 species
CCUACGGGAGGCAGCAGUAGGGAAUCUUCCGCAAUGGACGAAAGUCUGACGGAGCAACGCCGCGUGAGCGAUGAAGGUCUUCGGAUCGUAAAGCUCUGUUGUUAGGGAAGAACAAGUACCGGAGUAACUGUCGGUACCUUGACGGUACCUAACCAGAAAGCCACGGCUAACUACGUGCCAGCAGCCGCGGUAAU